UGUUGGAUUAGUGUCUAAGUCCAUAACUAUUUUGGUAUGUACUUGACCCGAUGGUGCAUGGUCCUUUUGGGUUGCCUUCACCAAAGCAACUUGAUUGGAGAAAUAAAUAAAGAGAGAGGUUAUUAUGAUUUAUUAAUAUGUUAAAAGAAUAAUAUAUUAAAGGAGAAAUCAUAUUUGUUUAAUUAAUAUUGGUCAAUAAUUAAUUAAGAAUUAAUUUUGUGAUCAAGUGUAAUUAAUUAAACUAGAGGGGCUGAAUUGUAAUUAUGUGAUAGUUACAAAAUAGGGCAAUGAUUAUCCUUGUUAAAGGAUGGACGAAUUCAAGGAUAAGGAUAUCCUUAAAAUCGUCCAAAGCUCCAAGAGAUAGGGAUUUCCAAGGCUUAUCUUAUGGUUGCUUGAUGGGCAAGUAACUAGAUAAGGAUAAGGACUGAAACCCUAAUCCCAUCCCUAUAUAAAGACCCCUAAGGCCUUAGGAUUUCGUACACUUGAUCCCUAGAAGUCCUAAGGACGAAAUCGUAUACCUCUCCUCUCUCUUUAUACCUUCUCCACUUGCUUAUGGUGUUUGUAAGCCAUUAGAGGAGUGACACUUGUGACUCUCAGCCUUCCAAAGUCAAUUCAAGGAGGAAUUGGGAUUGUUAUUGCUACAUAACAAUCAAGGUAAUAUCUUAAACCUAAUUAUAUGUUAAUAUUGAUUUCCAUAUGCUAGAAUUAGGGUUUAUAGUCUUGGAUUCAAAGCAUGUACAAUAGAGAAACCUAGAUCCAAGCAUUAGGGUUUGUAUGAGCACAUAGGAUGUCUUAUGACCAAAACCCAUCAGUGGUAUCAGAGCCUAGACUGGUUUCUAUUGUAUUGAUGCUUGAUAUGUUUGAAAAAUUCGAUUUUUUGGUUUCUGGAGGCUGGACUCGCCGAGUCCAUAGCUGAACUCGCCGAGUCCAUGCAGACUCGACGAGUCCAAGCCUGACUCGCCGAGUCAACUCGUCAGAUGGAGGGUAUUUCGCGAUUUCUUGCUGUUUUUGCUUAUGGAUAGUUACCUUAUCAUGUUAGAUCAAUAUUAAUCCGAUUAUAUGAUAUAUUUGACUAUAUUUUUGAUCUAAUUGAAGAUAUUUAUCAAUUAAUAAGAUAAUUGUUUCCUUAUGUGAUAAUUGAUUAAUUAUUUUGACUAAAUUGAUAAAUUGUUUUGCAAGAAAUCAUUAAAUAAAUCAAAUAUGGAUAAUUAUGUGAUUAAAUGUUAAUUUAAAUUAUUUGUUAUUUGAUCCUUGUUGUUAUGAAAAGUUUCAUAUUUUCCCCCUUAGGUUUUAUAGUUUAAAUUUGAACCCAAAAGUUUUGUUGUUUUGAAAUUUAAAUAGUUGAAACCCUAAUGUUUUGAAAAAGGUUUCAAAACUUGCCCUCAAGUUUUGGAAUUUAAAUUUUGAUUAAAUGGUUUAAUUUUGAUGUAUAUUUAAAUUCUAAACCCUAAUGUGUUGAAAUGUUUCAAAACUUGCCCUCAAGUUUUGGAAUUUAAAAGUUGAUUAAAAGUUUAAUUAGGAAUGUUAAAUUCUAAAACUCUAGUAUAGUUUUGAAAAAGUUCAAAUCACACCCUUAUGGUUUUAUUAAUUAAUUAAGGUGUAUAAUUAAAAGAGGUUUAAUAAAUCCAUAAAAGUUUAGGUUUACAAUUUAAUUGAAUUAAAAGUAUAAUUGUUAAAUUUGACCACCUAGUAUUUUAAAAGUGUAAAAUACACCCUAUACUAUAUAUAACAUUAAAAGUCUAACAUUAUAUAUAUGUAUGAGUAAAAGUCAGUCUUACCGUUAGUAGGCCUCAUUCACGAAGCUGGUCUAUAAGGGGUGUUUAAGGAAAUUGCCUAUAAAAUGGCGAUUGAAUGGGUAUCCACUCUUACCCACCGCACUCUUGACUAGUGGAGGGUCGUUAGCCGAACGGGUAGGAUAGGACGAAACCUUCCAUUAUAAGUAUAAUGAAGUAUAAAAGUAACUAAAUGUUUUCAUAAAAUUCCCAAUCUUAGUUACUUAGGCAAAAGUGAAUUGAUGCAAUUCCAUGAAAUUACACUUUGUGCCCUUGCGAAGACGUUAGUGGAGCGUGUGUGGUUUACCGGCACACUAAAUGGUUCUAAGCAAAGGUAGCAAAGGGUGACUCAAUGUUUGUCAUAGUUCGGUGGAGCGUGUGUGGUUUACCGGCACAUCGAAUAGGUGACUGUAACAUGUGAGGGCACCAUGUAAGUUUGCAUGGUUAUUCACACCCGCUUUGUGAUCCUCGGCAUCCCAGUCACAAACAAGAGGGGCAUAUCGAGAUUUAAACAUGCCAUUGAAAUGUUCAAUGAAUCUCAAAGGAUCUAGGAGUUUUCAUAGAUUUAAAACUUAAAUUUCUUUUUCGUUUUUCAUGGUGGAAAUUAGUGAAUCGUCAUUCACUUACCUUCAAAUGUUCUGCAAUUUGGGUUACGGCAUCCCUCUCCCGAGUUGUAGAAUAUUGUGUUGGGUCCUAGCCUUAGUAUCUCAUUUGGGUGAUUUACUAAGGACUCAAUCAAUCAACUAACUUGAAUUCGUUUUCUCCCGUUUUGUAGAUGUCAAAGUUCGACAACUAUGGUCUUCCCAAAUCCCGUGGAACAAGCAUUCCACAUGAAGAUGAUAUUCCACGAUUCGAUCGAGGAACAAGAAAUCAUGCUUCACUUCCUCCACCUCCUCCAAUUAUUCUCCCUAACCCACAAGUUCAAAGGCUUGAAAAGUUCAAGAUCACUCAAGCCCUUUUGGCAAGUAAACAUAAAGAAGGAAAGUCGGUGUGUGCACACGUCCUAGGGAUGAAGUCACACAUUGAUAGGUUAAGAAUGUUGGGAUCCGUUGUCUGUGAGGAAAUGGCUGUUGAUUGGGUUCUUCAGUCACUUCCUAACUCAUAUAGUGAGUUCGUAAGAGAGUACUAUAUGAUGAACUGCGACGUGACCCUUAUAGAUCUCACCUAUAUGCUUAUUGCUGCUGAAUCAGCAAUGGUUUGGCGCAAUAGAAAAGCAAAGUUGAUUGGUGAAUCUGCCUUCAAGACCUCUAUGGAUAUAGACAAUGGCAACGAAAGACAUGCUAUGAUCGAAAAGUUUGAUCAUAAGAGAAAGGCAAUGUCUGAAGUAGUUCCAUGUCAUGUUCCAAAAGAGUCAAUUUGCUUUUAUUGCCAAGAGAAAGGGCAUUGGAGACGAAGCUGCCCCAUUUACCUAAGAGAUCUAAGAGAUGGGAGAGUCGAAACGUAUGGCUCUAAUAUAGGUAAAAUCCAUUAACUAACUCUUUUAAGCUUCUAUUCUAGAUUCUUAAUACAUAAUGUGAUAAGAUUACAAUUGAUGUUUUGUAGGAUCGAAGAAAAGAAAGGAAGCUUAAGGGAAGAAGUGAGCAGAAUCUAACCGUGAAGGAAUGGAUUUCGAUCGCAUUUCUCGAAGAUUAGAUUCUUGAGCUACUACUUAGAGUUAGAAUUAGAUUGCUAAGAAAGAUGUAUUAGCAUAAGUUUUUCAAUGAGUUGCAUUGUAAGGACAAAUUUUUCCGCAAUAAAAUAAAUUUUGAUUUUAAAUUUUAUUUAUUUAUCCUUACAAUGGCGUGUAUGAAAAAUUGAUGUUAAAAUGUUUCUAUUAUUAGCAAUAAUGGAUUUGGUUCUUAUUAUGUUAUUUAUGGAAAGUCGAGAAUUUACCAAAUAGGGAGAGUUUCUCAUCGCCCAAGUUUCAAUUGGACAGAAACUUGGAAUCAUGCAACUUGGUUGCACGAUGAAUGAGAAAUUUCAUAUUUGGAAAUUAGACUAAUUCAUUGACAAAGUGUCAAGUGAAGGACUAGGAGAUCGAGUACACAAAGUUGCGUGUUGAUCAAGUCCACCAUAAGAGUAACAAAGAUAUUCGUCAUGAUUUACUAAAGGUUUAGUAAAUAUGAUUAUACUUAUAAGAUUAAGUGUAAUUCUGAAUUGAUUGAAAAGGUUUAAAUCAAUAGCAGAACGAAUAAGAAGAAUCAAGUAGGCAGAAAGAUAAAAGUUUCUCCAUUCUAAGAAGAAGGGAGAGUACCUUUUAUGCUUUAUGAUAGGUCUUAAUGAUUAAGAACCAUAUCUCAAUUGAUCCUCUAAGUGAGUCUUAGUACAAUUGUAUGUCUAAGAAGAGGAAUCAAGAAUUGAAGAAAUGGUUAAAUCAAUAAGUCAAUCAUACUUCGUUCCAAUAACAAGUCUUAAAGUUAAGAUUGUGACAUUGAGUGAAAGGUAUUAAGAAGGUUUGUAACUUUCAUUAAAUGUGGAAAGUUGUGAUGUCUUGGAUAAGACAAAGACCAACUAGGACCAAUUUAUGAAGUGUUUUGAUAAAAGCUACACUAACUCUUGAAUAUUUGUUUGUCAAGAAAUGUUUUUUGACAAGAGAAUCUUAUAUGUCAAGGAGUCAGUGGGAGUCUUAAUGGUCUUGAAAGGUUUCAAGAACAAAUCAAAUAAACCUUAUCGAUCAUCACUAGCACACGAGUUGAGGUUUACAACCUAUCGUGUUGACAUUAUUUUGAUUCUGUGCCAAUCCAAUCGAGUUAAUUAUGCAUGUGAGUUCUAUGAGUUCUCAUUUUGAACGCAUAAAAGGCAAAGCACCUUAAUCAAUGAAAGGUACAUUGAUAGGAAAGGGUGAGCUGCUUAACUACUUGGAAGACAUGGUGGGCAGCUGUGCUACCAUAAAGGCAAGAAAUCGAGAUCAAGAAAGUUCGAUCCAUAAGAGUUUGAAUUUGUCGUAAACUUUGGUUUUGACAAAUUCACAUGGAUAGGAACAAAUACACCGUUUAAAUCUAAGUGUCAUAAGAUUUCCUCCUUCAUGAAAAUGAUUGUGAGGAAAUGCUUUCACUAAGACAGAUUUUAAGAAGAUAGUGAUUGUAAAAUUGCAUUCUCGAAUUCAAUUAUGGUUACGGCAUCCCUUUCCAUAAUUUGAAUUGUGAGGUUUGGCAAUUAGUCUUAAUUGUUUAGACACACAUAUGAACUAUCGAAGGCAAAUGUGUAUAAGUUCAAGAAACCUUGAUAAAAGAUUAUCAAAGCACUAAGUAUUAGAAACAUGAACUUAAGAAAUUCAAUAAGCAUUUUUUUUCUGAAAGUUAAGAUGUUUAUGAAUACAUGUCGAAGCUAGUGGGAGCAUAAGUGUUAUGUUUUAUAAUAAUCAUCAAGAUAGUGGGAGCAUAAAAGUUAUGAUUGUAUGAUUAUUAAGGAAAGUAUUGCAAGGUUAGCAAUAUUAAUUAUAGAAAACAAGAGUCAUACUUUGCAAAGUCGCAAUAGUUGAAGAGUUGUUUUGCUAUAAUUAAGGGAGAGAAUAUUAUGCUUCAUUUCAAAUCUAAAGGUUUAGGUUGAGAAAUGUUAAUAAAAUUUAGUCAAAGGUACAAAGUGUGUUCUUAAAAUUUCGAUUAUGAUUACGGCAUCCCUCUUCACAAUUCGAAUUUUGAGAACAUAGCAAAUAAAACAUUAUGCGUCGUGUCCCAUACGCUUCGGGUAUAGGAUCGAUUGCAAAUGCUUUAAUGUUUGACCAUUCUAAAAUUUUCCAAAUGUCGAGCGCAUUUAGAGGGAAAAGGGACUAGAAUUGGUUUUGACUAAAAUAAUUAAACAACUAUCAAAGGACAAUCCAAGUUCGACGAGGAUUGGUCGCUUGUGAGUAGUUGGAAGUAUAGUAUUGGAAAAUAUGGAAAUGUUUCCAUAUUGGAUGGACCAUAUCGACAUCAUUACGAAUAGAUAAGAUUCUAUUAAGAAUGAGUUGUCAUAUGGAACAUAUGGAAGUGUGUCCAUAUUGGGAAUUGAAUAUUGAGAAAUCUAUGACUAGAUUAGAAACUUCUAUGCAAAAGGAUGUUCAAAGAAUGUACUUUGAGUGAGAGACAUCACAUCUAUGGAAUUGUCUUGUAACAAUCUCCGAUAGAGGACUUUGUAAUAUCAUUGGCAAUAGUCUUUGUGACUUUGGUGCAGUGACAUUACGAAAGGAUAGUUGCAUAGAAUGUUAGAAUCUAGCAUAUUCUAUAAGUAGCAAGAAUUUGAUAUUCUUACACUUAUGAAAAAGGAUUUGGAGUUGUGAAAUGAGAAUGAUUGGAAAUGUGUUCAAUGUGAUCUAUUUCACAAAGUAAGAACCAUAGGUAAACAUUGUGUGCAUGCUAGGAGCAUGGGACAAGUGUUGUAAUUCAAGUAAGAAGUUGAUUACCCGAAACGACAAAUAAUGAGUAAUCAAUAUGGUGAUAAAUAAAAGGUGUUUUAUUUAUACUCAAAGGUUUGAGGCCAUAUGGGAUUAGUAUUAUUCUUGUGUUUCACAUUUGCAUGUUUUGACUUCCAGAAUAAUUGAGUUUAUUAAGAAUAAUCGAAUUAUUCGAACGGGCCACAGUCGUUCAUAUGUUGGAAGUAGAUAUGAAUGAAGACUGUCGUGAAUUGGUGUGUGGAUUGUCUAAAAGAGUAUUAGACAUAAGCAAAUGUUUGCUGCAACGUUCAUGAGUGCUUAUGAAUAUGAUUUGAGCAUUGGAUUAAACCCACGCUCACUUGGAUCACUCCAUGAAUUGUAUCACGAGUGAUUGGUGAGACGAUAACAUCUUAUAUUCUUGAAACCGAGAUGUGUGAGUUGUAUCUUGCAAAUCGGUUGCACAUUGAUAAUAUGUAAACGCACUAGUAACUUGGUGUUAUAAAACAUAUUGUUGUGUGUGAUUCGGUGAGUGAGUGCAAGCAAGCAUUGUAUCAAAGUUUAUCCGUUCCUUUUAUUCAAAGUAGGAUAAAAGCGAUAUCUUUGGGCCCCUCGAUGAUUUAGUGAUGACAAACGUAAAUGCUCGGCCGGGCUAGGGCUAAUUUGAUUUGUUCAAUUAGUCAGUCGUCAUAAAUCGGAAAUCGAGAUAUAGUACAAAGAGAAUGAUUUGAAAUCAUAUCUCAUAUGAUAUCUAGAAUGGAGGAAUAUAUGAUCCCUUAUCUAAGGACACGCGUAUUUGAUAUGAUCAGAGUUGACAGCGGCUUUGGAAAGCUACGAUUGCAGAUCGGGAUCCGAAGUCAUACGCAGAAUAGUUAUUAGACUUAUCCAAGUGGGAGACUGUUGGAUUAGUGUCUAAGUCCAUAACUAUUUUGGUAUGUACUUGACCCGAUGGUGCAUGGUCCUUUUGGGUUGCCUUCACCAAAGCAACUUGAUUGGAGAAAUAAAUAGAGAGAGAGGUUAUUAUGAUUUAUUAAUAUGUUAUAAGAAUAAUAUAUUAAAGGAGAAAUCAUAUUUGUUUAAUUAAUAUUGGUCAAUAAUUAAUUAAGAAUUAAUUUUGUGAUCAAAUGUAAUUAAUUAAACUAGAGGGGCUGAAUUGUAAUUAUGUGAUAGUUGCAAAAUAGGGCAAUGGUUAUCCUUGUUAAAGGAUGGACGAAUUCAAGGAUAAGGAUAUCCUUAAAAUCGUCCAAAGGUCCAAGAGAUAGGGAUUUCCAAGGCUUAUCUUAUGGUUGCUUGAUGGGCAAGUAACUAGAUAAGGAUAAGGACUGAAACCCUAAUCCCAACCCUAUAUAAAGACCCCUAAGGCCUUAGGAUUUCGUACACUUGAUCCCUAGAAGUCCUAAGGACGAAAUCUUAUACCUCUCCUCUCUCUUUAUACCUUCUCCACUUGUUUAUGGUGUUUGUAAGCCAUUAGAGGAGUGACACUUGUGACUCUAAGCCUUCCAAAGUCAAUUCAAGGAGGAAUUGGGAUUGUUAUUGCUACAUAACAAUCAAGGUAAUAUCAUAAACCUAAUUAUAUGUUAAUAUUGAUUUCCAUAUGCUAGAAUUAGGGUUUAUAGUCUUGGAUUCAAAGCAUGUACAAUAGAGGAACCUAGAUCCAAGCAUUAGGGUUUGUAUGAGCACAUAGGAUGUCUUAUGACCAAAACCC
rnacentral:lncRNA from 1 species